GCCAGUGUGGCAUAGUGGUUUGAGUGUUGGAUUACCAUUCCAAAGACCAGGGUUCGAUUCCCAACUCAACCA